UGAUGAUGAUGAUAGUUCCAUAAUGAUAGUCGGAGGUUUAUGGACCUUAUUCUCACACCUAGCCACGCUAUAGUCGGCCGGGUACGGUACCUAUUGUGCAUACUACUACAGUUGGGUACGGAUAACACCGAGCCUUGUUAUGGCUGGGUACGGAUGACACCGAGCCUAUAUGGCUAGGUACGGUAUUAUGAUAUAUGUAUAUGUAUGGAAUUUUUUUUUAAAAAAAGGAAAGCAUGCAUGUUAUCCGCCUUAAGAGACAUUCAGAUGUAUAGGUUAUCUCUCUUAUCUCUGGUUACUUUCAUAUCUUUAUUAUGUUGAUUAUUCAUUCCUUACAUACUCAGUAUAUUAUUAAUACUGACGUUAUUUUGUUUGUGGAUGCUGCAUUCAUGCUCGCAGGUAGACAGGGAGACGGAUCAAAACCUUAGGCUUUUUCCUAGUGUUUGUACAGGAGCACUCCACUUGUUCUGGAGUUGCAUUUCAGUUGGUACGAUUCUUUUGUUUAUAUAUGGGCUUAGUAGGGUCCUAUGCCGUCCUUAUUAUGUUAUGCACUCCAUUUAGAGGCUCGUAGAUAGAUAUGUACAAUUAGAGGUUCUAUGACCAUCUUGAUCCAUACCUUGUUGUAUCAUUAUAUUCUGAUAGCCUUGACGGCUUAUGUACUUGAGAUCAGUUUGAUGACGCAUAUAUACAUAUAGCUUUUGGGCUUGCGUCCCUUACAGAUUAUGAUAUUUACGAGUUAGCUUAUGGCCCAUUCAGAUAUGACUAUGAGAUGCACGUUUUGCGAUGCUCGGUAGGUUAGCUCCGGGUGCCCGUCAUGACCCUCUGGUUGGGUCAUGACACUGCUAUUCUAUGCCUAACAGUAGCUAAAUAGAAUUUUCUGAAAACUCAAGCAGUGAGCGCAUCUACGGAAACGCUCCGCAGGUUUGAAGGCGCAGGUGCGGGCAAAUUGUCCGCAGAGGUGGACUUCGUGGAAGAACGAACCAUGCAGGUGCGAAUUAGUAUCCGCAGAUGCAGUUACCUAGAGACGGCUAAGCUCCGCAGGUGCAGGCUAUUUUAGAAGAAGGAAACCCACAAAAGAGGUCAUAACCUCAAAGAUGUGAGUCCGCUGAAAUGUAAAAAAUCCCGUAGAAGCGGUACUUGGACAGUUUCAAAAAUGGGUAAUAGAAAUGGUUUCCCCCACCUUUGAAACCCCCACAUUUCUCUCAACCGGCCCCCAACUCCUCCACUCUCAAAAUCCCAACACACUCACCCCCUUCAUUUCUCACCACACUCAUUACAAAGAAAAGAACCAAAAACUUCGGAGGAGUCAUCAGAUUUACGAAGGGAAGGCCCACCUCUCAACUUUAUCCUUUUCCAUUUUUCUUCAACAAGAGUUUGUCGCUAGUUCUACCUCUCAGCCUCGCGAAUGAUCUCGAGGCCUACUUACAAGAGUUUCCAGGGUGAGCUACUAGAUGGAUCUGCAGCCCAGAGACUCCUCCUUGUACUUAUCUUUCCUUUUGCUUUUGAGACAGUUAUUAUCAUGUAUUUAUGAGACUACCUCUAGUAUUCAGACAUUGUACUAGUGAUAGUGGCUCUUGUACUCA